rnacentral:tmRNA from 1 species
GGGGUAGUAAAGGUUUCGACAGGGGUCUUGCAGCUGGAGAAGCUAUCCGUUGCGACACGUUAAUCGCACAAUUAAACUAAACGCUGAAGACAAUAAUCAGUUAGCGUUCGCAGCUUAGUAAUAAGCUGCGAAUGACGCCGCCUCAGGCGGCUUGUCCGGUCCGGGGCACCCACACUUCGGAGUCCGGGCAUCGACUAUGUGGGAAACGACGCGCGGUAAGCUUUGCCCGCGCGGGCGUAUCAUGAAGCUACCGAUCCGGCGGGGGAGUCUGUUCGCCAGCCGGUGAUUGGAAAAUGUGGUAAACCUCCCUUCGGGAACUUAACCACCAACAACAGACUAUGAUAGUAGAAGGACAGGGAAUGGGCUUUUGGACACGGGUUCGACUCCCGUCUACUCCACUC